CGCCCCCGCCCCCCACCGAACCACCUCAAUGAGAUGCAAACAUGAAAGACAAGAGGAAGAAGAAGGACCGCACCUGGGCCGAGGCUGCCCGCCUGGCAUUGGAAAAGUAUCCCAACUCACCAAUGACCGCAAAACAAAUACUGGAAGUCAUUCAGAAAGAAGGGCUAAAAGAAACAAGAUAUAACAUGCAUUAGUUCUUGCUAAGAAGUUUCUUGAAGUAUAUUUGGCAAUACCAAGGAAACAAGGGAACGAAAGCUUUUGAAAAUGAAUGUCCAGACAUGUGUUAUGCUGCAAAGAUUUGCAUACUGAAAAAGAAAAAGACGAAUCUGUUUUUAUUAAGAUACUGUUUUUUCACAGCAGUGAAUAGAUUGCUUUCUUCUUCCUGUGAUAUGAGACAACUGUAUGGUAGCAGCUUGCAUGCCUGAUAAUAGUAUUUCUUUGUGAUUUUAAGAGUUCUUGUUUCCCCAGACAGUGCAUAAAUAAAAUUUUGUGUGCAAAACCUAUGGGAAGCAGUGAAGGCAGCAUUUUUAUAUGUUUUAAAUAUAGAAAAUGUAGAAUUGUUGCUGAAUAAAUAAUAGGAUAAAGAUUCCUUUAAAAAGCAUCAAAACCAGAGAUUCUCUUUCAUUGCCCAAGUAUUUUAGUGACUGAGGAUUGUAGGCAAACAGGAAGGAAUUUGAAGUUCAUACUGACCUGAUUUUUAUUCAUGGUAUAUGCUGGUGUAUGUGAAUAUGCAGUUUAUUGCAGGAUGCCAUAUGUGGCAAUGGGUAUGUAGACAAGUGAAAAAGGAUACAGUUGAACAUUCCUUAUUCAAUAUGUGAAAAAUUGUAUGAAGUUGCGUGCAUGUCAUUCUGCAUUGUUUAGUGUAGAAAAUCUAAAUUGUGCAAGUUUAAUAAAGAAAGAUAUUGAUUCUUUAUUUUUAAUUUUUAAAGUGCUUAGUUUCUCAUUUAGCUUCUGAUUUUAUUCAAGAGUUGUGUGUCUGUCACAUUUUAAUAUUAGUUAAGCACAAACUUGCAAAGUUGUCCGGAUGUCUAUCUCCUAGUAAGGACAUACACAUAUUUUGUUCAUUGGGCCUUUGCACUUAAGGACUGUGAAAGCAAAAUUUUACUUAAGUCUAAAGUCUCCCUCUUACUUUAUCAAGCUCUGCAGUUUCUUUCAGUGUAUUUCUACCAGUAUGGUACCUUUGUCAUUACUGAAGUUAUUCCUUCUCGGUCUUUAAGCUGCAGCCAGCUAAGACGACUGAAGAAUGUAGAUUUUAUGAUAUGCACUCACGUAGUCAUAAGCCUUAGAAUGGAGCUAGCACAUUUUAUUCUGUAAUGAUUUGUGUAUUUUUCCAAGUCUGGACUUACGCCAGCAGUAUGUUACUACAUUAAUAUACUGUGCUAAUUCCUUUAUACUGAUUAUCUUUGUCAGUAGAACCUUGGCAAUCCUAAAUGAAGUUCUUCAAAAAUUCUUGUUUCUGCUGUUCCAUUUAUAGAUGAAUGAGAUUAGUUGGCUUAGUCAUUCUUCAAAUAUAUUGCAGCAGUAAUUAAUCUAAAGCUUUUUGCUGUGAUAGUAAAGCUAAAUGAAUAACAUAUGAAUUUCAGCAAUUUCAUUGUACUCAUUACAUGUAAUCUUUAAAAAUACAGUAUCAGACUCUUCAGGCUUUUCUUUUGUUUGUUUGCAAUAAAGACAUCCAAGAUCUACAUUUAUAUUUCACUACUGAAAUUGUUAAAUGCAAUAGGAGGAAAAUUUCAAAGUUGCAAAGCAGAUAUAAGUUAGGAGUUAAAAUCAAAAGCUGCUAAUAUAAUGUGAGAGGUCAUACACUUAACUAGGUUCACAUAUCUUGGGAUGUAUGGCUCAGUUUUGUUUUUUAAAUAUCUUCCUUCCUGCUGUGAUGACCGGUUGCCAAAUGAUCAGCUGGCUGGCAGUUCUUUUGCUAUCUAGAAGUAUUAAAAAUUUGUAUGGUGAACCUUUUGGGGAUGUAGAAAUACAUGGUGUUUUUGGGGUGAAGUGGAGGCAAGUGAGAAAUAUUUAUGAAUAUAUGCUUACCUAUCGGUUGCCUCCAGACAACAAAUUUAGCCAUGGUUUCCACAAGGCGGAAAGCUCAUGCCAAAUAGAGUGUUGUGACCUAGAGUUCCUGUCCAAAAAUGUGGCUGUUCAGAUCUCCAUCUGCGGGGAGUGCAUGAGCCUUUUUUUACUGGUGAAGGGCAGCAGUGAUACCACCUGUGUGAAGUGUGAGCAGGUGGAAGAUCCGCUCAGUAUGAUGGCAGAGCCCAAGGAGGAGAGGGAGAGGUUAAGCAGCAUCAGGAAGUGUGAGCAAGAGAUAG